UAGGACCCAUUUCCCGCAGGCCAGCAAGACGGGAGACCUAUUAGAUAGCCUUUCUUACUGACUGAGUUGGGAGAAAUUGGUUCGUACUUGAACCUGUUGUCUCUCCCUUCCCAGUCUGUGAGAUCCAAUUGACCCUAGAGGGGAGAGACCCUAUCCUGGGGCUUUCCGGGAGCUGACGGGCGCUCAGCUCGGGCGGCGGGAGGAGCGGCAGCGGCCAGGCAGCCCAGGUUCACGAAGGCUCUCGGCGCGCCGCGGCCCGCAGGCACCCGGCACGCGCCCGCCCUGCCGCGACGAUGCCCAAGAGGAAGGUCAGCUCCGCCGAGGGGGCGGCGAAGGAGGAGGUAAGAACCCGCUCCUCUUCUCUCCCGGGGGUGGUUUCGGUUUGCACCGCACCCCGCAUUCCUUGCUCAUUUUCCUUUUUUUCUCCCAAAGCCCAAGAGGAGAUCGGCGAGGUUGUCAGCUAAACCGGUUCCUGCAAAAGUGGAAACGAAGCCAAAAAAGGCGGCAGGAAAGGAUAAAUCGUCCGACAAAAAAGUGCAAACAAAAGGGAAAAGGGGAGCAAAGGGAAAGCAGGCUGAAGUGGCUAACCAAGAGACUAAAGAAGACUUACCUGCAGAAAAUGGAGAAACUAAAAAUGAGGAGAGCCCAGCUUCUGAUGAAGCAGGAGAGAAAGAAGCCAAGUCUGAUUAAUAUCACACACCUGGUCCUAUCAGUGGUCCCUGUUUCCCUUCUUGUACAAUCCAGAGGAAUAUUUUUAUCAACUAUUUUGUAAAUGCAAGUUUUUUAGUAGCUCUAGAAACAUUUUUAAAAAGGAAGGAAUCCCACCUCAUCCCAUUUUUUAAGUGUAAAUGCUUUUUUUUAAGAGGUGAAAUCAUUUGCUGGUUGUUUAUUUUUUGGUACAACCAGAAAAUAGUGGGAUAUUGAAUAUGGGAGGCUUUGAUUGUCUUGGGUGUCAGCUUAACAUUCCACAGAUGGAGGGUAGCUUUUAUAUCCUAUAAUACAAAGCAUACUACAUGGCAGUUUGGAGUCAGUUGCGCAUUUAAUGUCUUAAACACUUUAAAUUACUUCUCUUCCCACGUUGUUUUUGGUAGAAUUGUUUCCUAAAGCAAACCACUCACCCCUUGAUCUUGGCUCUCCUGGGCAGAGUUUUGUGCACUCUGUAACAUCUUCGGUCGUGGUAGUCCAGUUCUUCUAGUAACUGUUAAUGUGCUGUGAACGAUUGACAAUUUGAGUAUGUAGUGUAUGUGAUAUUAAAUUGUGAAUUAGUGGGACUUACGAUGUAACAGCAUAUCAAUAUUUGAAGAUAUUGGUACUUGAUAUCCUGUGAAGGAAAAUUUGCCCCCAAAUUUUAAGCUGGAAAGUCACUGGAAUAACUGUUCAGAAAAGAAUCACAACUACAUGAUUUUUUAGGUUUUUGGUACGUAUGUUGAGAAUUGUGUACAAAUUGAAAUGUCUGUGUACUGAUCCUCAAAACAACAAAUAAAAUCUCAACUAUGAAAGAAUUUCUUGAAGCACAUGGA